rnacentral:rRNA from 1 species
ACUGCUCAGUAACACGUGGACAAUCUGUCCUUAGGUGGAGGAUAACCUCGGGAAACUGAGAAUAAGACUCCAUAGAUCUAGGAUGCUGGAAUGCACUUAGCUUAAAAACUUCGGUGCCUAAGGAUGAGUCCGCGGACUAUCAGGUAGUAGUCAGGGUAAAGACCUGACUAGCCUACGACGGAUAUGGGUUGUGAGAGCAAUAACCCAGAGAUGAUAUCUGAGACACGAUAUCAGGCCCUACGGGGCGCAGCAGGCGCGAAAACUUUGCACUGUGCGAAAGCACGACAAGGGAAUCCCAAGUGUUGGCUCUUCUUGAGUCAUCUGUUUCUCUGUCUAAAAAACAGAGAGAGUAAGGGCUGGGUAAGACGGGUGCCAGCCGCCGCGGUAAUACCUGCAGCCCAAGUGGUGAUCGUUAUUAUUGGGCCUAAAACGUCCGUAGCCGGUUUAGUAAAUGCCUAGGUAAAUUGUACGGCUUAACCGUACGAAUUCUGGGUAGACUGCUAGACUCGGAACCGGGAGAAGCUAGAGGUACUCCGGGGGUAGAGGUGAAAUUCUGUAAUCCUCGGGGGACGACCAGUGGCGAAGGCGUCUAGCUAGAACGGGUUUGACGGUGAGGGACGAAGCCCUGGGGCGCAAACGGGAUUAGAUACCCCGGUAGUCCAGGGUGUAAACGCUGCUCGCUUGAUGUUAGUCGGGCUCCGAGUCCGAUUAGUGUCGGAGAGAAGUUGUUAAG